UGAAAUGUUUGUGAUGAUGCAAUCUCCCCGCGGAAAGACGGAAAGACCCCAUGAACCUUUACUGUAGCUUUACAUUGGACUUUGAACAGAUCUGUGUAGGAUAGGUGGGAGGCUUUGAAGCAGGAACGCUAGUUCUUGUGGAGCCAACCUUGAAAUACCACCCUGAUCUGUUUGAGGUUCUAACCUUGACCCAUUAUCUGGGUCGGGGACCGUGCAUGGUGGGCAGUUUGACUGGGGCGGUCUCCUCCCAAAGUGUAACGGAGGAGUUCGAAGGUACGCUAAAUACGGUCGGAAAUCGUGUUGAUAGUGCAUUGGCAUAAGCGUGCUUGACUGCGAGACUGACAAGUCGAGCAGGUACGAAAG
rnacentral:rRNA from 13 species